rnacentral:sRNA from 15 species
GUAAAGGGAUCUCGGUCCUGAAGGACCGGGCUUUUCAGCCCCUUGUGGCUGAGAGCCGUCUUUACCAGCACCAGCCAUCGCCUACGGGGAGGUGACCUCGAUGGCUACGUUCCGCACAGGGCAGAAGACCCACCAGGCCGUGCUUCCUCAGCGGCCUGCUCUGGA